CAUAGGAUAUUAUGCAAAGUUUAUUGCAGCAGCAACCACACGUGGAGGCGUUCAUUCGCAAUUCGAACUUUCCACUUCCCACUCACGUUGCUGUCCAUCCAGUAUACAGACUUCAGAAUUACAAUGGGAGGGGGCCAAUCAACCACAACUACUACAACCACACAGGCUACAUCAAUUGCAACUACAACACCAGUGAUUCCAACUACAACACCAGUGAUUCAAACUACAACAGUCUCACCUAGACUGACGUUAGAGUCUCAAAUCUCCAUCGCUUUCUCCUGCAUUGCGCUUAUACUCGUCUUGGCACUGUCUUCAGCAGCCAUUUAUAUCUUCUGGUGGCGAAAAACACCAUUGCCAACGGUGACUUGCUGCCAAGCUGGAAAAGAAAAAGCAGAAGCAGACUGUGAAAAUGAGACACCACACACCAUUAUAUAUGGAAAUGUUGGGACUGUUGCCAAGGAUGAUGUGGAUGUAGAUGUAACCUACAGUGAUGUGACUGUCAUGAAAAGGACCGGUACGAUUGUGUUGCUGCCAGACACCAGUGAAUAUGCAACAGUAAUGACCUCUAAAUGAUAGAACUCUGAACAUGACUUCAUUCAGCUUCAAACAGUCUACUUUAAAUAUGUAAAAAAAACUUUUGUGGGAUUGAAUGACUUCCUGCGAUGAUCAACAAUCAGAUCCAGUCAGAACAAAAGGCUUAUGAUUCUUAUAUAUUAAUGUAUCAUUAUUCUACUCAUAUGCCUUUAUGUAGGGUUAAGCUGAUAUCUGUGUUCCUAAAAUGUGUCAUUUCUAUCUGUGUGCCCUGUGUGUUUCACAGUGAUAAGAAUUGGGGUAUUUUGGUUAUGUCUCGAAGGCCAUAGGGUCACUAAGACACCUGAGUGUAGUCCGAGCUCUGUGAUUAACACCAUAGUCCUGUCAGAAUACUAAAUACUAAAUAUUAAACUGAGACUUUCUCUAUUCUAGUCAGAGAAGCUGGUUAAUCUUUAUGUGAAUGCAUGUACUCUCUCCCUUGAUGUGCAUCACCGUAAAUAAAAUCCUGUUCCUGAUUUUUCUACA
rnacentral:lncRNA from 1 species